UACAGAGGGUGCAAGCGUUAAUCGGAAUUACUGGGCGUAAAGCGCACGUAGGCGGUUUUUUAAGUCAGAUGUGAAAGCCCCGGGCUCAACCUGGGAAUUGCAUUUGAAACUGGGGAACUAGAGUGUGUGAGAGGGGGGUAGAAUUCCAAGUGUAGCGGUGAAAUGCGUAGAGAUUUGGAGGAAUACCAGUGGCGAAGGCGGCCCCCUGGCACAACACUGACGCUCAGGUGCGAAAGCGUGGGGAGCAAACAGGAUUAGAUACCCUGGUAGUCCACGCCGUAAACGAUGUCUACUAGCUGUUCGUGUCCUUGUGAUGUGAGUAGCGCAGCUAACGCACUAAGUAGACCGCCUGGGGAGUACGGUCGCAAGAUUAAAACUCAAAUGAAUUGACGGGGGCCCGCACAAGCGGUGGAGCAUGUGGUUUAAUUCGACGCAACGCGAAGAACCUUACCUACUCUUGACAUCUACGGAAGACUGCAGAGAUGCGGUUGUGCCUUCGGGAACCGUAAGACAGGUGCUGCAUGGCUGUCGUCAGCUCGUGUUGUGAAAUGUUGGGUUAAGUCCCGCAACGAGCGCAACCCCUAUCCUUAGUUGCCAGCGAUUCGGUCGGGAACUCUAGGGAGACUGCCGGUGAUAAACCGGAGGAAGGUGGGGACGACGUCAAG
rnacentral:rRNA from 1 species